rnacentral:rRNA from 1 species
UACGGAGGGUUCAAGCGUUAUCCGGAUUCACUGGGUUUAAAGGGUGCGUAGGAGGACAGGUAAGUCAGUGGUGAAAUCUCCGAGCUUAACUUGGAAACUGCCGUUGAUACUAUCUGCCUUGAAUAUUGUGGAGGUGAGCGGAAUAUGUCAUGUAGCGGUGAAAUGCUUAGAUAUGACAUAGAACACCAAUUGCGAAGGCAGCUCGCUACACAUAUAUUGACUCUGAGGCACGAAAGCGUGGGGAUCAAACAGG